rnacentral:rRNA from 1 species
CAACUUGCGUUCAAAGACUCGAUGAUUCGCGGAAUUCUGCAAUUCACACUACGUAUCGCAUUUCGCUGCGUUCUUCAUCGUUGCAGGAGCCAAGAUAUCCGUUGCUGAGAGUUGUGUUCUUUUUAUAUAUUUGUAAAACCUGGUUCCGUUCCCCCUCGUCUUCUUUUCUCUCUUCUAGAAGAAUAGGAGGAGAAGAAGAGAGAGAGAGAAGAGAGAAGGGGAAGGAAGGCGAUUCGGGACUCAGUCAUAUUUGUAAGUGAUUCUUGCGCAUGCAUGGCGGGUUUUCCUUGAUCAUCCGAUUCGGUUCCUCCAAGUCCCAUCCAGAGCCCCAACCUGCCAGUUUGGAUUUUCAUACCCCAGAGGGAAGAAAAUCUGAGAUGAUGAAAAUGUGAUGAUGAUGAGAGUGACGAUGUGGGUUCGCUAGAGCAGUA